GUGAUAAGCAAGUGCAGAGCCACAGCCACGAGGAUAAUGAUUCUUAGAGGAGGGGGGAGCAGCUAGUGAGGAUCUGGGAGGGGAUGUGUGGGGGUUCCCUCACCCCCCUCUCAGCGAACGGCAUACCUAAGGAGAUGCUUGCUUCCAGCCUUUCAAAGGCCUAUGACGAUAACCCGCAAACACGCACCUGGGCUAAGAUCAUCAUGUGGGUGAAAGCAGUUUGAGAUACAGACACAUCUUGGCAGCAUAUCCUGUACCAAGGAGCAGUCCCAGAGCUGUCAGCAGGAAGAGGCUGAGGAAGCAGGCAAACCUCCUGGUGGAGGAGGAGGAUCACAGGGAUACGGGUCUCUCAGAGGUGCAUACGGCAGGUUUGCUGACUCCCGUCUGGUCCUCACCAUCCAGGAAGCUCAGUAGUCCACACAGAUCCACAUCUCAUGCAUGCAGAGAUAGACUUGCCACUCCACGGAGACUACAGUGCCUGGAAUACCAGCCUCCCAUCCUGUUUCCUGGGUCUUGCUUGGUCUGGUCAUACUAUGUACUUCCUGAUGAGACUUUUGGGCUUCUGUGCACCCUGUAGCUGUAGCCCCUCAAGGCUCUGGGUUCCCACUCAAGGCACUACCUCAAAUACAGAGCUCACCAACCUUAAAAACUGAAAAGCCAAGACACCCUUUCAGGGACCAGGUUCAUGACAGUGGACCACAAUUCCAACAGGUAUCAGAAGGUCAGACUGAGACUCUAGGGAUUACCAUGAGAUCUGGUAGUAUCUCACUAUGCCGGGACUUCAGUACCAUCACCUCCUCCUUACUCCCUCAUUAUGUACCCUUCCCUCAUUCCCGCUGGGAAGAAGGUCUCCUCGGGAAAGCAAGUGCACCAGGCUUACCUCUCGGAGCUGCUGCACGCCUCCAAAAAUCCGCAUCACACCGUCAAUCUCCUGCUCCAGGCGCCGGGCCCAGUGCUGCAUCCUGCAAUCCAGAGGAGAAAGAGAUGUCAGGAGGACCUGCUGGAGCUGCAGCUGCAACAACCAAUUCCUGGCCACCCAGGGGGACCAGGACAGCUACUCACUCAACUCAAUUUUCACCAGAGAGGGAACACACACAGGAACCAGAGUGAGCCUGUGAUUUUUCCCUUUGAAGUCUGGCCCGGUGGCCUAGGCUUUCCUUACUUUGACUGGCAGCCAGGGAGGAGAGGAAAGGGCAUUGUGGAUUAGCCAAGGGAGUUAAGCAGGUUGGAAGAAGCCUGCAGGGAGACUAUUGUUCACUAUAAAGACAAGUCCUUAGAUGUGUCUGUUCUGAAAGUGGGGACACCAGGGAGGACAGAGACAAGACAGGUGAAGUUUGAGGAAAGGGAGGGGACACUGCUGUCACCUCCAACCCAUUAUGUAAGCAGGAGGAGGUAGAGGUAACCUGCCUCCUGGGCCUCACCUGAGCAGAAGACAGAGCGCUUCCAACUCAGAUGAUCCUUGCCUUUCUAGUUCCCUGGUAGGAGAUGCUCAUCAGAGACCCAAGGCUGGAUGUCUGCUGUGAGCCCACCCAGGGUUUCAGUACAAAUCAUCCCGUCCCUUUCUGGAGGUCUGGCAAGCAGAGGCUCUGAACUGCAGGUCUGGACAGGUACGCUGGUACCACCACAGGACCAUUUAACACCAUCUCUGUCUCUCUCAGCUUCCUCUUCUGGAAUGUGGAGAUAAUUUGGGGUCAUCUCUUAGAGUGGCACAAGAAAACAUAAGACCAUGGGAGGAUAUAGCCAAGGAUGCUGUAAAGGAAUCUCUGUAAGUGGACAAGACGAACAGGCGUCUGGAUGAUCUCGGCUUUCCGUCCAUCUUAGCAUGCUGGAGCCCCAUAUGGGACCCACCACAGAGACAUAAAGGAGCCAUGGGUUCACAGGCCACAGUGGACUAGGAUGAUGUCAGAAAAGUUGCAACUGUCCCCCAAAACCUAAUUAGGACCAACAGCAUCCCCUAAAAUCACUUAGGGCCAGGACUCUCUUCUGGAUCCUUGUCCCACACUCCUUCUCAGGCCUGUGCUGGGGGGUUGGGCUCAUGCCAUUGUGUGUGCCCGGGUCGGUUGGCAUGGGAACUCAGAGCAGGAGGCGGGCAGAUCACUAAUUGCAAUUUGCCAAGCUGAAUGUCAGGACCGUGAUGGGGGAAAAAAAAAAUCAACAUCAAAAGAAAGAGGUAUUAGCUUCAGCUUGUUGUGGGCUGAGCCACAGCCUGACUCCCCAACUCUGUUCCCCGCCAUAGAGGGAAAGAAAAUCUAACCUCAACUGGUGUAGAGGCCAGGCUGUAAGCUCAGCUGCCAGCCAGGGAGAGACAGGUACCAGAGAGCAUCAGCAUCCCAGCCUGACCCCAGUCCGUCCGCCAGCACUGGUGUUCUGGUCCUGGUGGCACUUGGACAAUGUGGCAGGUGGCUCUUUUGUAAUCCUGAGGCUACAGACUCUUGGGGGUUAAUAAUGGGACAGAGUCUCACACCGUCCUAUAUCUGGACAGAACGGGCAGGGUCAAGGACCCAGCUUCAAAAAGAUCCAUUAGCUCUGCCCUGACCCUAAACCUGACCUCGUCCAUUCAUUGGUUUAGGACACAGACUACCCAUCAUAAUCCCUCCUGCAUGAGUCUAUAGGAGGGUGCCCACUAUGUACAAAGCACAGUACCAGCGUGUCCUGUGCUCUCUGGCUUCGAGCUUCACGGAGGCAAACAAAAUCCCCAAAUCCCAGGUGAGGAAGCUGAGACACUAUCCAAGGUCAUUCAUCCGGGAAGGGGUAGGCAUGAGACUUGUUACAGUUUUCUGGAGUCUCAGGAACUGACACGUGAGAGCCAACCAUGUUCAUCUCUUUCCAGUUCAGCGCAUCAGCUUCAGUGCUUGAAAUCAGCCGCAGUGGGGACACUUACACCAUGGGAAUAGGCAAAGGCCAGCAAUCACAGCCCCACUCCCACCCCAGUGGCAAACAGAGACGCAUCCUGAAAUUCUUUGAGAAUUUCUUACAACGUAUUCUGGUCAUAUUUACCCCUCCACCUCCUCCCAUAUCUAUCCCUACCUCCCAACUUUAUUUAUUUAUUGAUUGAUUUACCUAUUUAUUUAUUAUUUAAUUUUAGGCAGGGUCUUGCUAUGUAGCUCUAGCCAGCCUGGAACUUUCUAUGUAGACCAGAUCUGAUUCACUUGCUUCUACUUCCUGGGCAGAGAGAUUAAAGUUGUGUUCCACCA
rnacentral:lncRNA from 1 species